CGGUCAGGCCGUAAGGAAGUGUCAAGCGUCCUCUCCACGCUCAGCCCAGAGAAGACAGAGGAUGAAGCUGAGACCUUCUUCCCUCAGUACAGUAUGGACCACCAUCCUCCAGAGGGCAGUGAGCCCCUCCUCUUCUCCUCCCGCCUAAAGGAGACUCGGGCCUUUCAUCCCCACUCAAAGGAGGAGGCCUAAAGGAGACUCGGGCCUUUCAUCCCCACUCAAAGGUAGCACUCUUUUCCCAUUCCUCAGUGACACUGGCAGCCAUAGGGGAACAGCCAUGUGACACAUUUCUCCUUCCAAGGCUGGAUGGUCUUAGCAGGAACCUAAUAGCAUCCUGAGCUCUCAAUAACAUGAGGGAGGGCUGCAUGGAGACUCUGGAUUUACAGCCCUGCGAAGGGAUGAGCCAGUAUGUUGCUUCUUGGGAACAGCAGGAGGUGACUGCCAAAGUGAAAGUCAUGAGACCUCAGCUCAGGCGCUCAUAAUGCAAAAAAUGCACUAAGGUCAAGGAAAUCUCAAGCCAACAGAGGAAAGAUAAUCUACAGAUACCAACCUCAAGAUGACACUGAGGUUAGAAUUAUCUGACAAAGACUUCAACGAUGCCUUUAUAAAAAAAAAACACUUCAAGAAGAAUCACACACUCAUGGGCCUGAGGCAGGAAGGUGGCUGCCUUGAUCGCUUUUCAUGGCUGUGAUGAAGCAGGGCUCAAGCAAGAAGAUCACAAAUUCAAGAUUGAUCUAUCUCAAAAACGAAAGAGAGAAAGUCAAGGCGGUUGUGAUGGUGGCUCACACCUUUGGUCCCAGAACUUGGGAGGCAGAGGCAGAGGGAUUGCUGAGUUCAAGGCCAGCCUGGUCUACAGAGUGAGUUCCAGGACAGCCAGAGCUACACAGAGAAACCCUGUCUCAAAAAUAAAUAAAUAAAUAAAUAAAU
ensembl:lincRNA